GACGAACGCUGGCGGCGUGCUUAACACAUGCAAGUCGAACGGAAAGGCCCUGCUUUUGUGGGGUGCUCGAGUGGCGAACGGGUGAGUAACACGUGAGUAACCUGCCCUUGACUUUGGGAUAAAUUCAGGAAAAUGGGGCUAAUACCGGAUAGGAGCUCCUGCUGCAUGGUGGGGGUUGGUAAGUUUCGGCGGUUGGGGAUGGACUCGCGGCUUAUCAGCUGGUUGGGGGGGUAGUGGAUUACCAAGGCUUUGACGGGUAGCCGGCCUGAGAGGGUGACCGGCCACAUUAGGACUAAGAUACGGCCCAGACUCCUACGGGAGGCAGCAGUGGGGAAUAUUGCACAAUGGGCGGAAGCCUGAUGCAGCAACGCCGCGUGCGGGAUGACGGCCUUCGGGUUGUAAACCGCUUUCGCCUGUGACGAAGCGUGAGUGACGGUAAUGGGUAAAGAAGCACCGGCUAACUACGUG
rnacentral:rRNA from 1 species